rnacentral:rRNA from 1 species
GACGUAGGGGGCCAGCGUUGCUCGGAAUUACUGGGGCGUAAAAGGGGUUCGUAGGCGGUGCGGCAAGUCGGAAGUGAAAUCUCUGGCUUAACUCAGAGGCUGCUCCCGAAACUGCCGUGCUUGAGUGCGGGAGAGGCGAGUGGAAUUGCAGGUGUAGCGGUGAAAUGCGUAGAUAUCUGCAGGAACACCCGUGGCGAAGGCGGCUCGCUGGACCGCAACUGACGCUGAGGAACGAAAGCUAGGGGGAGCAAACAGG